GUGAACGCUGGCGGUAGGCCUAACACAUGCAAGUCGAACGGCAGCACAGUAAGAGCUUGCUCUUACGGGUGGCGAGUGGCGGACGGGUGAGGAAUACAUCGGAAUCUACUUUUUCGUGGGGGAUAACGUAGGGAAACUUACGCUAAUACCGCAUACGACCUACGGGUGAAAGCGGGGGAUCUUCGGACCUUGCGCGAUUGAAUGAGCCGAUGUCGGAUUAGCUAGUUGGCGGGGUAAAGGCCCACCAAGGCGACGAUCCGUAGCUGGUCUGAGAGGAUGAUCAGCCACACUGGAACUGAGACACGGUCCAGACUCCUACGGGAGGCAGCAGUGGGGAAUAUUGGACAAUGGGCGCAAGCCUGAUCCAGCCAUACCGCGUGGGUGAAGAAGGCCUUCGGGUUGUAAAGCCCUUUUGUUGGGAAAGAAAAGCAGCAGGUUAAUACCCCGCUGUUCUGACGGUACCCAAAGAAUAAGCACCGGCUAACUUCGUG
rnacentral:rRNA from 1 species